rnacentral:rRNA from 1 species
AUUGAACGCUGGCGGUAGGCCUAACACAUGCAAGUCGAACGCGAAAGUCCUUCGGGAUGAGUAGAGUGGCGGACGGGUGAGUAACGCGUAGGAAUCUGUCCUGUAGUGGGGGAUAACGUUUCGAAAGGAACGCUAAUACCGCAUACGCCCCAAGGGGGAAAGCGGGGGAUCUUCGGACCUCGUGCUAUAGGAGGAGCCUGCGUCGGAUUAGCUAGUUGGUGAGGUAAAGGCUCACCAUGGCGACGAUCCGUAGCUGGUCUGAGAGGAUGAUCAGCCACACCGGAACUGAGACACGGUCCGGACUCCUACGGGAGGCAGCAGUGGGGAAUAUUGCGCAAUGGGCGAAAGCCUGACGCAGCCAUACCGCGUGUGUGAAGAAGGCCUUCGGGUUGUAAAGCACUUUCAGUGGGGAGGAAAAGCUGGUGGCUAAUAUCCAUCGGCCGUGACGCUACCCACAGAAGAAGCACCGGCUAAUUCCGUGCCAGCAGCCGCCGCCGUAA